rnacentral:rRNA from 1 species
AGCUUGCUACUUUUGCCGGCGAGCGGCGGACGGGUGAGUAAUGCCUGGGAAAUUGCCCAGUCGAGGGGGAUAACAAGUUGGAAACGACUGCUAAUACCGCAUACCCCUACGGGGGAAAGCAGGGGACCUUCGGGCCUUGCGCGAUUGGAUAUGCCCAGGUGGGAUUAGCUAGUUGGUGAAGGUAAUGGCUCACCAAGGCGACGAUCCCUAGCUGGUCUGAGAGGAUGAUCAGCCACACUGGAACUGAGACACGGUCCAGACUCCUACGGGAGGCAGCAGUGGGGGAAUAUUGCACAAUGGGGGAAACCCUGAUGCACCCUGCCGCGUGUGUGAAGAAGCCUUCGGGUUGUAAGCACUUUCAGCGAGGAGGAGAGGUCAGUAGCUAUUACCUGCUGGCUGUGACGUUCUCGCAGAAAAGCACCGGCUAACUCCGUGCCAGCAGCCGCGGUGAUACGGAGGUGCAGCGUUAAUCGGAUUACUGGGCGUUAGAGCGCACGCAGCGUUGGAUACUUAGAUGUGAAAGCCCCGGGCUCACCUGGGAUUGCAUUUACACUGUCCGGCUAGAGUCUUGUAGAGGGGGUAGAAAUUCCGGGUGUAGCGUAAAUGCGUAUAGUCUCGAGGAGUACCGGUGCGAAAGCGCCCCCUGGACAAAGACUGACUCUCAGUGCGAAGCGUGGGGAGCCACACGGGAUUAGAUACCCUGGUAGUCCACGCCGUAACUAUUCUAUUGAGGCUGUCUCCUGAGACGUGCCUCCGGA